rnacentral:rRNA from 1 species
AUUGAACGCUGGCGGGAGGCCUAACACAUGCAAGUCGAGCGAGCGGCGGACGGGUGAGUAAUGUCUGGGAAACUGCCUGAUGGAGGGGGAUAACUACUGGAAACGGUAGCUCAUACCGCAUAUCAUCCGAUGUACCCAGAUGGGAUUAGCUAGUGGGUGGGGUAACGGCUCACCAAGGCGACGAUCCCUAGCUGGUCUGAGAGGAGGACCAGCCACACUGGAACUGAGACACGGUCCAGACUCCUACGGGAGGCAGCAGUGGGGAAUAUUGCACAAUGGGCGAAAGCCUGAUGCAGCCAUCCCGCGUGUGUGAAGAAGGCCUUCGGGUUGUAAAGCACUUUCGGCGGGGAGGCGUUACCCGCAGAAGAAGCACCGGCUAACUCCGUGCCAGCAGCCGCGGUAAUUC